rnacentral:lncRNA from 1 species
AUUUUUAUUACGGGUUUCCACAUCUUUAAAUCGGAAUUAUAGAAAAAAUGGAAUGUUGUUAGCAGAAUCAAAACAGAAAUGAUGAACACUGCAACAUUUUCAGCAAAACAUAAAUAGGAUGGAGGAUCUGUGUAUUCACAUUAUUUGUAAAACUCUCCUUAUUCCUGUGAAGCGUGUGCUUUACAUCGAGGCUUGUGCUUUACAUCGAGGCUUUCUAUGCUUAUCAUCGACGCCACAGUACUUCAACCAAUCAGACAACGUUUAUUUGGGGC